rnacentral:rRNA from 1 species
UGAUUAUAAAUUAAUGUAAAUUACCAGAGUACUAUGAACAUGCAGUUUAAAACUCAAAGGGCUUGGCGGUGCUUUAGACUCUUCAGGGGAACCUGUCUCGUAAUCGAUAGUCCACGAUAUACCUAACCUUUUUUAGACAUCAGUAUGUAUACCGUCGUCGUCAGGUAACUUUUAAAAAUAAAGAAGUUAGCAACAAAAAUUAGAAUAAUUUUGUACGUCAGAUCAAGGUGCAGCUCAUAAAAAGGUGAGGAUGGGUUACAAUUAAGAAUUAUAAUAACGGAAAGAGGUUUGGCAUAACCUCUAAUG